UACGUAGGGUGCGAGCGUUUGUCCGGAAUUAUUGGGCGUAAAGAGCUCGUAGGCGGUUUGUCGCGUCUGCUGUGAAAACCUAAGGCUCAACCUUGGGCUUGCAGUGGGUACGGGCAGACUAGAGUGUGGUAGGGGAGACUGGAAUUCCUGGUGUAGCGGUGGAAUGCGCAGAUAUCAGGAGGAACACCGAUGGCGAAGGCAGG
rnacentral:rRNA from 1 species